GCAAGUCGAGCGGUAGAGAGAAGCUUGCUUCUCUUGAGAGCGGCGGACGGGUGAGUAAUGCCUAGGAAUCUGCCUGGUAGUGGGGGAUAACGCUCGGAAACGGACGCUAAUACCGCAUACGUCCUACGGGAGAAAGCAGGGGACCUUCGGGCCUUGCGCUAUCAGAUGAGCCUAGGUCGGAUUAGCUAGUUGGUGAGGUAAUGGCUCACCAAGGCGACGAUCCGUAACUGGUCUGAGAGGAUGAUCAGUCACACUGGAACUGAGACACGGUCCAGACUCCUACGGGAGGCAGCAGUGGGGAAUAUUGGACAAUGGGCGAAAGCCUGAUCCAGCCAUGCCGCGUGUGUGAAGAAGGUCUUCGGAUUGUAAAGCACUUUAAGUUGGGAGGAAGGGCAGUAAAUUAAUACUUUGCUGUUUUGACGUUACCGACAGAAUAAGCACCGGCUAACUCUGUGCCAGCAGCCGCGGUAAUACAGAGGGUGCAAGCGUUAAUCGGAAUUACUGGGCGUAAAGCGCGCGUAGGUGGUUCGUUAAGUUGGAUGUGAAAUCCCCGGGCUCAACCUGGGAACUGCAUUCAAAACUGUCGAGCUAGAGUAU
rnacentral:rRNA from 2 species